rnacentral:rRNA from 1 species
AUUGGACGCUGGCGGUAGGCCUAACACAUGCAAGUCGAACGCGAAAGUCCUUCGGGAUGAGUAGAGUGGCGGACGGGUGAGUAACGCGUAGGAAUCUAUCCUGUAGUGGGGGAUAACGUUUCGAAAGGAACGCUAAUACCGCAUACGCCCCACGGGGGAAAGCGGGGGAUCUUCGGACCUCGUGCUAUAGGAGGAGCCUGCGUCGGAUUAGCUAGUUGGUGAGGUAAAGGCUCACCAAGGCGACGAUCCGUAGCUGGUCUGAGAGGAUGAUCAGCCACACCGGAACUGAGACACGGUCCGGACUCCUACGGGAGGCAGCAGUGGGGAAUAUUGCGCAAUGGGCGAAAGCCUGACGCAGCCAUACCGCGUGUGUGAAGAAGGCCUUCGGGUUGUAAAGCACUUUCAGUGGGGAGGAAAAGCUGGUGGCUAAUAUCCAUCGGCCGUGACGCUACCCACAGAAGAAGCACCGGCUAAUUCCGUGCCAGCAGCCGCCGUAACAC